UACGGAGGGAGCUAGCGUUGUUCGGAAUUACUGGGCGUAAAGCGCACGUAGGCGGCUUUGUAAGUUAGAGGUGAAAGCCCGGGGCUCAACCCCGGAAUUGCCUUUAAGACUGCAUCGCUUGAAUCCGGGAGAGGUGAGUGGAAUUCCGAGUGUAGAGGUGAAAUUCGUAGAUAUUCGGAAGAACACCAGUGGCGAAAGCGGCCACCUGGACUGCACCUGACGCUGACACGCGAAAGCUAGGGGAGCGAACGGG
rnacentral:rRNA from 1 species